GCUGGGAUAGCUCAGUCAGCAGAGCAUGAGACUCUGGAUCUCAGAGCCAUGGGUUCAAGCCCUACAUUGGGCA